rnacentral:tRNA from 1 species
UCCCUCAUAGCUCAGUCAGUAAAGCAUCUGCCUGCAGAGCAGGAGAUGAAGGUUCGAUUCCUGGGUCGGGAA